rnacentral:rRNA from 1 species
GACGGGGGGUGCAAGCGUUGUCCGGAGUGACUGGGCGUAAAGGGCGUGUAGGUGGUGUACCAAGUCUCUGUUGAAAGCCCGCGACUCAAUCGUGGACACGGCGGAGAAACUGUUACAAUCGACGAUACCAGGGGCAGAUGGAAUUCCCGGUGGAGGGGUAAAAUCCGUUGAUAUCGGGAGGAACACCAGUGGCGAAGGCGAUCUGCUAUGGUAUUCGUGACACUGAGGCGCGACAGUCUGGGGAGCGAAAGGG